UGAACUUUCUAAGCAAAGGUGUGAUAUUGCCGUAAAACUUGUUCUGUGAGAUAUUAAGUUGUGCAGCUGUGACAUUAGCAUUCAAACCAGAAUUAGGCAGCAAGCCAGUGAAAUUGUUGCCAGACAAGUCGAGAAUAUGCAAUCCAGGUAUUGACCACAACACAUCAGGAACUUCACCAGUGAAAAUAUUUUGUCUCACAACUACAACCUGCAGCUGGCUUUGAGCAGGAAAUAAGUUAACCGGCAAGGUCCCACUAAGAAGAUUGUUUCCAAUCACCAUUCUCUGCAAAUUUCUUAACCCUCUUAAAUCCGCUGGCACUGAACCAGACAACGAAUUGAAGCUGAGAUCAAGGUCAACCAAACUAUGAAGGUCACCCAACUGUGAAGGUAUUGAAGAAGAAAAAUUAUUGUUGGACAGAUUAAGAAACUGAAGCUUCAGAAGAGCUCCGAUGCUUGGAAGAAUCGACCCAGCUAAGAAAUUGGAAGAAAGAUCAAAAAUUGACAGAUUCUCAAGUGAAACAAAUGAAGGAGGAAGG
rnacentral:lncRNA from 1 species